GGAAUGACUGAACAAGCCACAAAAAUACCCAGCAGACUGCCAGGAAGAGAGGAAGGGGGCACAACAGGGUAGGGUGAGUAACGGGAGAGAGCCCAGCACCCACCAGAAAAACAGAACAACCACAGCCCACAGAAGUAAACUGCUUAGGAAAUACCAAAGGUGCAUGAGUGUAUCUCCCUAAGAAGGCUGGACACUGAGCAGGUUGGUGUUGCUAUAAAUGUCCUCCCAGAUACUGUCAUAGUUGCACUGAUGCGAACUCUGGGAAGCCACGAAAGCUGGAUGAGAUGGAGCCAGCAUGACUGUCUUCGCCGCGUGGUCUUGGAGCACUUGCAUCACUCGCUCAGGGCUGGAAAUCUCAAGGAGUACAAGGGGGAAAUGAAUGGUUGGGAAAAGCGUUAUUCCCUUCUUUUCAGCAAGAAUGUGGUCAUGUACACACGAAUAGGAAAGCAGUCCCAAGUGGGGCUUUAUUCAGUUAAAAAAUAAAAUCAUACUCAAA